rnacentral:rRNA from 1 species
GUAAGGAAUAUUGGACAAUGGACGCAAGUCUGAUCCAGCCAUGCUGCGUGAAGGAUUAAGGUCCUCUGGAUUGUAAACUUCUUUUAUAAGGGACGAAAAAAGGCUUUUCUAAGUCGUCUGACGGUACCUUAUGAAUAAGCACCGGCUAACUCCGUGCCAGCAGCCGCGGUAAUACGGAGGGUGCAAGCGUUAUCCGGAUUCACUGGGUUUAAAGGGUGCGUAGGCGGGCAGGUAAGUCAGUGGUGAAAUCCUAGAGCUUAACUCUAGAACUGCCAUUGAUACUAUCUGUAUUGAAUAUUGUGGAGGUAAGCGGAAUAUGUCAUGUAGCGGUGAAAUGCUUAGAUAUGACAUAGAACACCUAUUGCGAAGGCAGCUUACUACGCAUAUAUUGACGCUGAGGCACGAAAGCGUGGGGAUCAAACAGGAUUAGAUACCCGGGUAGUCC